rnacentral:lncRNA from 1 species
GGACAAGGUGGGAAGGCAUCUGACUCAAUCAGCGGACCUUAUUCUAAAGCGGAAAGGGCACUGGGAGAGGAGUCCCUGUGAAAAUCAUGGAGUCUUGGGACAUCCGAGGAGAGAGAAAAGGAUGGCAAAAGCAGAGGCAAAGACAGAAAUAAAUCUUCUCUUCUUUUCUUCAGUUUGUCUGACAAGCUUAUCCAUUGAUCAUAAGGGAGAAAGAAAUAGAUGACAAGAAGAAUUUCCCCCACUACAAUAUAAGCUUACUGAAUUAUUUUCAUCCAUGCCCCUUUAAAAUACGGUUGGUAGAAAUUUGCCAUUUUGAGAAUAGAAUCCCAUUCGGAAUCAUGUUAGUCACUUUUGACUCCAUGAGGACAUCUUUCACCCAGUUUUGGGAAAUCUGAAGAACGGAUUCUUCUACAGACACUCGUAAAAUAUCACAAGGUCCAAGAGUUGGUGUGGGAAAGAGGACAUCGAGGUAAAAUAUUUUUCAGCAGAUAAAGAUGGGGAAGUAGAAGGAUGUUAUUCAAAC